rnacentral:misc_RNA from 1 species
UUUUGGCUAGUGACGGCCAUCCUUGCAUUUGAGCUUGGUUGGUGGCUACUAGUUGAGUGGUUUCGGAGAUGUCAACCGUAAAGGUGCAUGAGUGGUGUUUGGUUUGUUACGGGUGGUUGGCUCCUUGCUUGCGCAACCAACUUCCACCUGGCUUACCUGUUCAAUUUUGUUUCAAUGCUUGGAUUGCAUUGAACGCACGUUGGGUUUCUUGUGUUGCCUGCCUAAUUGAUGGUAUCGCGUGGUAAAUUGAUAAUUGUUUCGUCUCUUGUCGCGCAUGCGAUGCGAGAUGAACCUUAAAGCAGCCUUUGUGGUCCACUCUUUCGAUGCGCUUGCAUUGAUUUUGUGGCUMAUUGAGUGUUCGCUUGGUGGCAUGGAUAUGGAACCUUGUGUUGGCAUGUGAUCUUUUACUAGAUCAUUGUUUGCCCAAGCUAAGCUUUGUCAAAUACGAUUUCCUAUCAUGUUCUAACGUGGUAGGCAAUAUCGAUUAUGAAUG